GCUCCCCUCGUCUAGCCCGGUCAAGGACGUUGCCCUUUCGAGGCAGCAACGCGGGUUCAAAUCCCGCGGGGAGCA
rnacentral:tRNA from 1 species